GCAAGUCGAGCGCACUCUUCGGAGUGAGCGGCGGACGGGUUAGUAACGCGUGGGAACGUACCCUUUUCUAAGGAAUAGCCUCGGGAAACUGAGAGUAAUACCGUAUACGCCCUUCGGGGGAAAGAUUUAUCGGUGAAGGAUUGGCCCGCGUUAGAUUAGAUAGUUGGUGGGGUAAUGGCCUACCAAGUCUACGAUCUAUAGCUGGUUUGAGAGGAUGAUC
rnacentral:rRNA from 1 species